AGUGAACGCUGGCGGCGUGCUUAACACAUGCAAGUCGAACGAGAACGGAAUAUAGCUUGCUAUAUUUGUCAGCUAAGUGGCGCACGGGUGAGUAAUGUAUAGAUAACCUGCCCUUAAGAAAGGAAUAACAGUUGGAAACGACUGCUAAUGCCCUAUAUGCCUUUAAUACAUAAGUAUGCAAGGGAAACGCUUUAGUGCUAGAGGAUGGGUCUGUAUGGUAUCAGCUUGUUGGUGAGGUAAUGGCUCACCAAGGCUAUGACGCCUAACUGGUUUGAGAGGAUGAUCAGUCAUACUUGAACUGAGACACGGUCCAGACUCCUACGGGAGGCAGCAGUGGGGAAUAUUGCACAAUGGACGAAAGUCUGAUGCAGCAACGCCGCGUGGAGGAUGACACAUUUCGGUGCGUAAACUCCUUUUAUAUAGGAAGAUAAUGACGGUACUAUAUGAAUAAGCACCGGCUAACUCCGUGCCAGCAGCCGCCGUAA
rnacentral:rRNA from 1 species